GCUAUAAUUGUCAGCUAAGUGGCGCACGGGUGAGUAAUGUAUAGAUAACCUGCCCUUAAGAAAGGAAUGACAGUUGGAAACGACUGCUAAUGCCCUAUAUGCCUUUAAUACAUAAGUAUGCAAGGGAAACGCUUUAGUGCUUAAGGAUGGGUCUGUAUGGUAUCAGCUUGUUGGUGAGGUAAUGGCUCACCAAGGCUAUGACGCCUAACUGGUUUGAGAGGAUGAUCAGUCACACUGGAACUGAGACACGGUCCAGACUCCUACGGGAGGCAGCAGUGGGGAAUAUUGCACAAUGGACGAAAGUCUGAUGCAGCAACGCCGCGUGGAGGAUGACACAUUUCGGUGCGUAAACUCCUUUUAUAUAGGAAGAUAAUGACGGUACUAUAUGAAUAAGCACCGGCUAACUCCGUGCCAGCAGCCGCGGUAAUACGGAGGGUGCAAGCGUUACUCGGAAUCACUGGGCGUAAAGAGCGUGUAGGCGGGUAUAUAAGUCAGAAGUGAAAUCCAAUAGCUCAACUAUUGAACUGCUUUUGAAACUGUAUACCUAGAAUGUGGGAGAGGUAGAUGGAAUUUCUGGUGUAGGGGUAAAAUCCGUAGAGAUCAGAAGGAAUACCGAUUGCGAAGGCGAUCUACUGGAACAUUAUUGACGCUGAGACGCGAAAGCGUGGGGAGCAAACAGGAUUAGAUACCCUGGUAGUCCACGCCCUAAACGAUGUACACUAGUUGUUGUGAGGCUCGACCUUGCAGUAAUGCAGUUAACACAUUAAGUGUACCGCCUGGGGAGUACGGUCGCAAGAUUA
rnacentral:rRNA from 1 species